CUACGGGAGGCAGCAGUGGGGAAUAUUGGACAAUGGGGGAAACCCUGAUCCAGCCAUGCCGCGUGUGUGAAGAAGGCCCGAGGGUUGUAAAGCACUUUCAGUUGGGAAGAAGGGUAGUUAGCUAAUACCUAGCUAUCUUGACAUUACCUUCAGAAGAAGCACCGGCUAACUCUGUGCCAGCAGCCGCGGUAAUACAGAGGGUGCAAGCGUUAUUCGGAAUUACUGGGCGUAAAGCGCGCGUAGGCGGAUUGUUAAGUCAGUUGUGAAAGCCCUGGGCUCAACCUAGGAAUUGCAUCUGAUACUGGCAGUCUAGAGUUUAAGAGAGGGAAGGGGAAUUCCAGGUGUAGCAGUGAAAUGCGUAGAUAUCUGGAGGAACAUCAGUGGCGAAGGCGCCUUCCUGGCUUAAAACUGACGCUGAGGUGCGAAAGCGUGGGUAGCGAACGGGAUUAGAUACCCUCGUAGUC
rnacentral:rRNA from 1 species